GGGCGGGCCAGUGAAACCGGCGGCCCUGGCACGUGACCUAGGACCGGCUCACCGGGUCGCUUGGUGGCUCCGUCUGUCUGUCCGUCCGCCCGCGGGUGCCAUCAUGGCGGACGCGGCCAGUCAGGUGCUCCUGGGCUCCGGUCUCACCAUCCUGUCCCAGCCGCUCAUGUGGGAUAUGAGCCUCUUCCUCCAACAAUAGGACGAAAUAUUUUUGGGCGGCAAGUGUGUCAGCUUCCUGGUCUCUUUAGUUAUGCUCAGCACAUUGCCAGUAUCGAUGGGAGGCGCGGGUUGUUCACAGGCUUAACUCCAAGACUGUGUUCGGGAGUCCUUGGAACUGUGGUCCAUGGUAAAGUUUUACAGCAUUACCAGGAGAGUGACAAGGGUGAGUGAUCACUCUGAGAUCUAUGGUACAGUUCAUUGGCAGAGAAUCCAAGUACUGUGGACUUUGUGAUUCCAUAAUAACCAUCUAUCGGGAAGAGGGCAUUCUAGGAUUUUUCGCGGGUCUUGUUCCUCGCCUUCUAGGUGACAUCCUUUCUUUGUGGCUGUGUAACUCACUGGCCUACCUCGUCAAUACCUAUGCACUGGACAGUGGGGUUUCUACCAUGAAUGAAAUGAAGAGUUAUUCUCAAGCUGUCACAGGAUUUUUUGCGAGUAUGUUGACCUAUCCCUUUGUGCUUGUCUCCAAUCUUAUGGCUGUCAACAACUGUGGUCUUGCUGGUGGAUGCCCUCCUUACUCCCCAAUAUAUACGUCUUGGAUAGACUGUUGGUGCAUGCUACAAAAAGAGGGGAAUAUGAGCCGAGGAAAUAGCUUAUUUUUCCGGAAGGUCCCCUUUGGGAAGACUUAUUGUUGUGACCUGAAAAUGUUA
rnacentral:misc_RNA from 1 species